rnacentral:tRNA from 1 species
UAGAUUGAAGCCAGUUGGAUAGGGUUUUUAGCUGUUAACUAAAAUUUCGUGGGAUCAAAGCCCACCAAUCUAG